GGGCAGGUUCCCGAGUGGCCAAAGGGAUCAGACUGUAAAUCUGACGGCGAAGCCUUCGGUGGUUCGAAUCCACCUCUGCCCACCA
rnacentral:tRNA from 1 species